rnacentral:rRNA from 1 species
UCGUAUGUGAUGCAGCAGUGGGGAAUAUUAGGCAACGGAGGGAACUCUGACCCAGCGACGCCGCGUUCGGGAUGAAGGCCUUCGGGUUGUAAACCGCUUUCAGCAAGGAAGAAGCGAAAGUGACGGUACCUGCAGAAGAAGCACCGGCUAACUAUGUGCCAGCAGCCGCGGUAAUACAUAGGGUGCAAGCGUUGUCCGGAAUUAUUGGGCGUAAAGAGCUCGUAGGUGGUUCGUCAAGUCGGAUGUGAAAUUCCGGGGCUUAACCCCAGACCUGCAUUCGAUACUGGCGAGCUAGAGUGUGGUAGGGGAGACUGGAAUUCCUGGUGUAGCGGUGGAAUGCGCAGAUAUCAGGAGGAACACCAAUGGCGAAGGCAGGUCUCUGGGCCAUUACUGACACUGAGGAGCGAAAGCGUGGAGCGAAC